rnacentral:rRNA from 1 species
UACGGAGGGUGCAAGCGUUAAUCGGAAUUACUGGGCGUAAAGCGCACGCAGGCGGUCUGUCAAGUCGGAUGUGAAAUCCCCGGGCUCAACCUGGGAACUGCAUUCGAAACUGGCAGGCUAGAGUCUUGUAGAGGGGGGUAGAAUUCCAGGUGUAGCGGUGAAAUGCGUAGAGAUCUGGAGGAAUACCGGUGGCGAAGGCGGCCCCCUGGACAAAGACUGACGCUCAGGUGCGAAAGCGUGGGGAGCGAACCGG